rnacentral:rRNA from 1 species
GCGGACCGACGGGAGCUUGCUCCCUUAGGUCAGCGGCGGACGGGUGAGUAACACGUGGGUAACCUGCCUGUAAGACUGGGAUAACUCCGGGAAACCGGGGCUAAUACCGGAUGCUUGAUUGAACCGCAUGGUUCAAUCAUAAAAGGUGGCUUUUAGCUACCACUUACAGAUGGACCCGCGGCGCAUUAGCUAGUUGGUGAGGUAACGGCUCACCAAGGCGACGAUGCGUAGCCGACCUGAGAGGGUGAUCGGCCACACUGGGACUGAGACACGGCCCAGACUCCUACGGGAGGCAGCAGUAGGGAAUCUUCCGCAAUGGACGAAAGUCUGACGGAGCAACGCCGCGUGAGUGAUGAAGGUUUUCGGAUCGUAAAACUCUGUUGUUAGGGAAGAACAAGUACCGUUCGAAUAGGGCGGYACCUUGACGGUACCUAACCAGAAAGCCACGGCUAACUACGUGCCAGCAGCCGCGGUAAUACGUAGGUGGCAAGCGUUGUCCGGAAUUAUUGGGCGUAAAGCGCGCGCAGGCGGUUUCUUAAGUCUGAUGUGAAAGCCCCCGGCUCAACCGGGGAGGGUCAUUGGAAACUGGGGAACUUGAGUGCAGAAGAGGAGAGUGGAAUUCCACGUGUAGCGGUGAAAUGCGUAGAGAUGUGGAGGAACACCAGUGGCGAAGGCGACUCUCUGGUCUGUAACUGACGCUGAGGCGCGAAAGCGUGGGGAGCGAACAGGAUUAGAUACCCUGGUAGUCCACGCCGUAAACGAUGAGUGCUAAGUGUUAGAGGGUUUCCGCCCUUUAGUGCUGCAGCAAACGCAUUAAGCACUCCGCCUGGGGAGUACGGUCGCAAGACUGAAACUCAAAGGAAUUGACGGGGGCCCGCACAAGCGGUGGAGCAUGUGGUUUAAUUCGAAGCAACGCGAAGAACCUUACCAGGUCUUGACAUCCUCUGACAACCCU